AGGACCAUGCUAAAGAUGUCGUUUGGAUGGACCUCUCUAGGGGAUGAGUGGGAUGGUUGCAUAUAUACAAUGCUGACAAUGUAUUAUGCAACGUUUCACUCUACCCCAGGGACUCUACUUCAACCUACAUAGUGCUUUCAUGAAUUA
rnacentral:pre_miRNA from 1 species